UCCCCGGUGGCUCAGAUGGUAAAGCGUCUGCCUGCAAUGCGGGAGACCCAGGUUUGAUCCCUGGGUUGGGAA
rnacentral:tRNA from 1 species